rnacentral:rRNA from 1 species
UCGAGAAUUUUUCACAAUGGGCGCAAGCCUGAUGGAGCGACGCCGCGUGGGGGAUGAAUGGCUUCGGCCCGUAAACCCCUGUCAUUUGCGAUCAAACCUUAUUAUUUAAAAGAUGAUAAGUUGAUAGUAGCGAAAGAGGAAGGGACGGCUAACUCUGUGCCAGCAGCCGCGGUAAUACAGAGGUCCCGAGCGUUGUUCGGAUUCACUGGGCGUAAAGGGUGCGUAGGUGGCGAGGUAAGUCGGAUGUGAAAUCUCGGAGCUCAACUCCGAAAUGGCAUUGGAAACUACCUUGCUCGAGGGUUGGAGGGGGGACUGGAAUACUUGGUGUAGCAGUGAAAUGCGUAGAUAUCAAGUGGAACACCAGUGGCGAAGGCGAGUCCCUGGACAACUCCUGACACUGAGGCACGAAAGCUAGGGGAGCAAACAGG